GUGCCAGCAGCCGCGGUAAUACGGAGGAUCCAAGCGUUAUCCGGAUUUAUUGGGUUUAAAGGGUGCGUAGGCGGCUUUUUAAGUCAGGGGUGAAAGACGGUGGCUCAACCAUCGCAGUGCCCUUGAUACUGAAGAGCUGGAUUGAACUUGAGGUAGGCGGAAUGUGACAAGUAGCGGUGAAAUGCAUAGAUAUGUCACAGAACACCGAUUGCGAAGGCAGCUUACUAAGGUUUUAAUGACGCUGAGGCACGAAAGCGUGGGGAUCAAACAGGAUUAGAUACCCCCGUAGUCC
rnacentral:rRNA from 1 species